rnacentral:rRNA from 1 species
UAGGGAAUCUUCCACAAUGGACGAAAGUCUGAUGGAGCAACGCCGCGUGAGUGAAGAAGGUUUUCGGAUCGUAAAGCUCUGUUGUUGGUGAAGAAGGAUAGAGGCAGUAACUGGUCUUUAUUUGACGGUAAUCAACCAGAAAGUCACGGCUAACUACGUGCAGCAGCCGCGGUAAUACGUAGGUGGCAAGCGUUGUCCGGAUUUAUUGGGCGUAAAGCGAGCGCAGGCGGAAUGAUAAGUCUGAUGUGAAAGCCCACGGCUCAACCGUGGAACUGCAUCGGAAACUGUCAUUCUUGAGUGCAGAAGAGGAGAGUGGAACUCCAUGUGUAGCGGUGGAAUGCGUAGAUAUAUGGAAGAACACCAGUGGCGAAGGCGGCUCUCUGGUCUGCAACUGACGCUGAGGCUCGAAAGCAUGGGUAGCGAACAGGAUUAGAUACCCUGGUAGUCC